GAUGAACGCUAGCGGCAGGCUUAACACAUGCAAGUCGAGGGGUAACGGGGUGCUUGCACCGCCGACGACCGGCGCACGGGUGAGUAACGCGUAUACAAUCUGCCUUGUACUGAGGGAUAGCCCAGAGAAAUUUGGAUUAAUACCUCAUAGUAUAUGGAUCUCUCAUGAGGCUCAUAUUAAAGGUUACGGUACAAGAUGAGUAUGCGUUCUAUUAGCUAGAUGGUAAGGUAACGGCUUACCAUGGCUACGAUAGAUAGGGGCCCUGAGAGGGGGAUCCCCCACACUGGUACUGAGACACGGACCAG
rnacentral:rRNA from 1 species